AUUUUGGUGCCAAUACAUUGUUCAAAUUUUUUUGCUAUUACAAAGGAGUGUGGUGAUAAAGAGAACUGAAUCGCUGUGAUUGCAUUACAUAAAAAAUACGCAAGAAAUAAACAGGACACACAGGAGCCACACAGGAAAUUGAAGCCAACACCCUCUUCUCCAACAUCCGAUUCAGCGUCUUGAAAGGUUAAGCCAUCAAGGUCGUUAAAACGCAAUAUAUAAGGUUGUGUUGGAUAUUAUAACGAUCCGUUGAAUUUCAUAUUCCAUUAACGUCAACCGUUAUCAGCCUCCGACGAACUCAAGCAAAAAUGAAAAAGACUGAUGGAUUGUCAUCACAUUCGCUACGAAACAGAAUUUACUAUAUUUAAAUAAAAAAACUAGAGUUGUUGUAUUGAAGAGGACGUCUUCAGGCAAAGUAUUAACCGAUAUUGAUACAGAUCAUUAAAAGUCUGUAAAAAGUGAGUGUGUAAGAAAUUAAAAAAUGGGUAGAGAAAAAGUUAUUCUAGCUCUAUUCUAGGUUACAUUCCAUUGUUACAGUACUUCAUAAAAAAAUAGUGUUUCAUUUUAGG